rnacentral:lncRNA from 1 species
GACAGUCUACAGAUUUUCUAGCCUAGAGAUUUUUUGAGCAUAGAGAUUUUUAGAGCCUCCAAAGAUUUCAUAUACCUAGAACCGCAAGAGCUGAAAUAUAGAAAUAUAGAGCAAAUACAAACAGCUAAAAAAUACAAAACAUUUUACUGUUUCAUUGGAGCAAUUCCUAAAAGUUCUUGAGAAUCUUCAUUCUGAAAUAAUGUUGGAACAGUUGAAGGUUAAGAUGAGUUUAAUUUGAUGGGUUUUUUUUCAAACUUGGGUUUAUCUCAAUUGUUGAAUACUGUUUGAAAGCCCCGCUGGUUCGAAUUUUUUUUUUUUAUCCUUUGAUUGCUGGGUUUCUACUGUUGCUGUUGAUUCGUGCUGUACAUGUGCUGAUCAACCAUUCUUGUUAUCUUUCUAACUCUAGGUGUAUUCUUGGCUCAUGAUAGAGGGCUGAUUGUUGAACAUGUAGUAGACAUGAAGUUCUACUAAAUGAAGAUGUUGUUUGAAGCAGAAAUUUCCUUUCUCUUUGUUACUGUUUCCUAUUCAUAGUUAUAUUUAAAGCAACAAAUGUUAGUUAGAAUCUUUUCCAUCAAAAUUAGGGUGAGUAAAAGAACUAGAUGUGUUACUUUGCAUCUGUGUUGAUGAGUAGGCUAUGGGCCAUAAUGGUUCAUCUUCAUGUUUUGUAUGUUAUCUUUAUUUGUUUUUGAACUUGUUUAACUGUAACAACCCAGGACUGUCAAUACUGUUGAAUGGAUCAUUUGAUUGUGAAAUAAGAUUCUUGGUUGUUGGCUGAAAUUGCUUGGGCUUGGGCCAUGUUUCGAAGGCACUAGUCCAAAUUUUCAUAAGUUUGGCUCACAUCCUGCCUUUUACAUCUAGUUAAUAGAUAUUUUCUCACAUGGUCGAUGUUGUUUUCAUGGCUUUAACAGUGGUAAAUUUUAUGGUUUAUUUGGUAAGCAUUUGAAAUUUAGCUUAGUCAAUUACCUCGUAAACAGUAAGUCGUUAAUUUAGCUUGAGGGCUCUGCAAUUGUAAAUUCCUAAGGGCAAUGAUGCCUGAAAUCUUUUUUUUGUUGAUUAUUUUCUCAUGUUGUAGAUACUCGAUGCUGGGUCUCUCAUUCAAAAGCAGCUGGUUUACAAGUUCGGGCUCAUUCUUGGGCCAAUGUGAGACAGCCCCUUCGAAAAGGGAUUUUAAUUAUUUCCUCUCUAUUGCAUCAUCUCAUAGGUUUGGGCCAUGAAUCUAUGUUGAGUGGAGACGGACUGGUCUUAUUAACCACAACAGGCUGUUGGGCCACAUGUCUAGCCCAAUUUGAUGUUCAAUUAUUGGCCCUUUCUUAAAACUAAUUGUCUCUUUAUUUGCUCAUAUGAUUGAUAGCCAUUUAAUUAAUUAAUUGG